AAAGCUCGAAAUUGGCUUCAGAAGCCUGAGCCUUGGCUCGGUAGCUUCCGAUUGCGUGCCCUAUUCACGUCGCUUAACUGCGUGUGUUUAUGGGCUUGUUACUUUGAGAAAAUUAGGGUGCUUCAAGCAGGUUUUUGCCUUGAAUUUGAUAGCAUGGAAUAACAAUAUACGGUCUUAGGACUGUCUUGUUGGUUAGUAGGCUCUAAGACAAUGAUGAAUAGGAACAGUCGGGGGCAUUCGUAUUUAACUGUCAGAGGUGAAAUUCUUGGAUUUGUUAAGGACGAACUACCGCGAAAGCAUUUGCCAAGGAUGUUUUCAUUGAUCAAGAACGAAAGUUAAGGGAUCGAAGACGAUCAGAUACCGUCCUAGUCUUAACCAUAAACUAUGCCAACUAGCCGUUGGGAGUCGCCGGAUUACGGCUCUCUCAAUACCUUGAAGAGAAAUCAAAGUUUUUGGGUUCCGGGGGGAGUAUAGUCGCAAGGCUGAAACUUAAAGGAAUUGACGGAAGGGCACCACCAGGAGUGGAGCCUGCGGCUUAAUUUGACUCAACACGGGAAAACCUACUAGGUCAAGACAGGGAUAU
rnacentral:rRNA from 1 species